rnacentral:rRNA from 1 species
UACGGAGGGUGCAAGCGUUGUCCGGAUUUAUUGGGUUUAAAGGGUGCGUAGGCGGCUUCAUAAGUCCGUGGUGAAAGCCAACAGCUCAACUGUUGAACUGCCAUGGAUACUGUGAGGCUUGAGUACAGACGAGGUAGGCGGAAUGGAUCGUGUAGCGGUGAAAUGCAUAGAUACGACCCAGAACACCGAUUGCGUAGGCAGCUUACUAGGCUGUAACUGACGCUGAGGCACGAAAGCGUGGGGAGCGAACAGG